rnacentral:tRNA from 2 species
GCGGGUAUAGCUCAAUGGUAGAGUCUCAGCCUUCCAAGCUGACUAUGUGGGUUCGAUUCCCACUAUCCGCU